rnacentral:rRNA from 1 species
UACAGAGGUCUCAAGCGUUGUUCGGAUUCAUUGGGCGUAAAGGGUGCGUAGGCGGCGCGGUAAGUCGGAUGUGAAAUCUCGGGGCUUAACUCCGAAACUGCAUUCGAUACUGCCGUGCUUGAGGACUGGAGAGGAGACUGGAAUUUACGGUGUAGCGGUGAAAUGCGUAGAUAUCGAGAGGAACACCAGUGGCGAAGGCGGCGCACUGGAUCUCCACUGACGCUGAGGCGCGAAAGCCAGGGGAGCAAACGGG